rnacentral:lncRNA from 1 species
AAAAAACCAAGGAACUUUGAAGAGACUAAAGGCUAUAUUCUAAGGCAUUUCAGACUCUAAUGGUUUAUAAAAUUAUCUGUAUUCUAUUGCAUUUUUUGUUUAAGAUAUAACUUUGUGAUUUUAAGUUCAUAUAUUACUGGAUUGAAUAUUAUUCUGUGAACUGAAGGUUGAUUGAAUUUAUUUUGAAUGUACUGAGUUUUGAAAUUCUGUUGUUUUCCCCCUAUAACUGUGUUGAAAAAAUAUUAUUGUGAAUAAGCCCAUAUAUGAAAAAACAGCUUUUUUUCUAUUUUGCUGAGGAUAGAUGGACUUCAGAACUGGUUAUAAUUGUAUUAACAACCUUUGGAAAAUUUAAUGUGCUAAAUACCUCAAAUGAUUUGAUUUUAAGGGUUUUUUAAAUAUGAUUUUGGAAUUUUUUUUUAACAGUCUGGUUAUUUUUGCCUGCCCCUACCAUGAGGUAAGGCCCAUUCUAGUAGCUGAAGUGAAAUGUAUUUUAUAACCCCCAACCUUCCCACAUGUGAAUGGAAGUUGGGCAGUUAAUUUCAGGGCAUUUGUACCCUUGGGAAAAGCCUCCAAGAACAAGGAGCACCCCUUUAUUUAUGCUCUUCAGCUCACUAUUUUACUUCUACCAGGAUGAUAUAUAGAUUUCUUGAUUAUGUUCUAAACCCAAGAUGAGUUUUACUUUGUUUUAAAAUAUGUUUAAAUACCAAGGUUGAAGGAUUGCUACGUUUGUAAAAAUUGUGACAAAUGUCCAUCAAUUCAUAGGUUUUAAAAAUGUCAUACAGCAACUUAUGUGAAAUAUGAAAGUGUGUUUGUUUGCUAUUGUAAUUAAUUGGGCUAUUGAGAAUUUUGGGGAUUUUGAUAUCUACAUAUUUGUACUACUGUAUUUUUAAAGAUGAAAAAAUUGUUAACCUUGUUCAAUUCAUUUGCCUUCUACCUCACAGUGAUCAUGGCCAGAUACAAAGAGGAAAUGGAUCUCAUUUUUUGGACAAGAUAUACACAAAAGAGCCACUGCAUAGUGCCAAUAGAGCAUAAGGUCAAAGAGACCAACCAAUCCUGGAGAAAUUGACGUCACUUUGAGCCUAGACAAAGAGGACUUGAACGUGUUUGGGGUUCGAGGUUGCGGCUGUUUAACAUGUGUUAAAAGCAGGUCUUCCUUGUUCCACAUUCUACCAAGUACCUCAAACUUGGCUCCCGGAACCUUGGCUUAUAUACUCUGGUCCCCUUUUCUGCCUCUCAUAGUGUGGUACCUUUCUGUAGUCCUGGCACUGACUGGGUAAAUGCAUCAUUACUUAGAUCAUUUUGAUUGGGCUCUAAUUGAAGGACCUGUUAUAGAUUUAUUUUUCUUCUACUUGGAAUUUUUACACAUAAGACUUUGAUAGUCUAUAUUUUCAUCCAGAAAUUUUUCUUUUCUUUUGGAUUUUCUGAUGUCUUUUUAAUAUCUCUUGCCAAUUGAUUCAUAUACCUCAUACCUCAGCCAUGCAUCCCUAACUGAUUCUGAAUCUUUCAAUCACCCACAACACGGGGGAAUGUAAAAAAUAUCAUUAUUUAAAUUGCAAAGUUUAAAUUCCUUUUGAGAAGAAUUUUAGGUGAAGAAGAUGCUACCUCUCUGAAUCCAGAACUGAACUGAUGGAGAAGCCACCAUGAAGAAGCCUCCAGACCACAAGUUGCACAAAAUUGAACUUUGGGUGUGGUUGAUUGAACAUUUAUUUGUAUGUAUACUUUUAUG